AAAGGGAAACAGCCCAGACCACCAGCUAAGGUCCCAAAAUAUAUGUUAAGUGGAAAAGGAUGUGGCGUUGCCCAGACAACUAGGAUGUUGGCUUAGAAGCAGCCAUCAUUUAAAGAGUGCGUAAUAGCUCACUAGUCGAGUGACACUGCGCCGAAAAUGUACCGGGGCUAAACAUAUUACCGAAGCUGUGGAUUGUCCUUUGGACAAUGGUAGGAGAGCGUUCUAAGGGCGUUGAAGCAUGAUCGUAAGGACAUGUGGAGCGCUUAGAAGUGAGAAUGCCGGUGUGAGUAGCGAAAGACGGGUGAGAAUCCCGUCCACCGAUUGACUAAGGUUUCCAGAGGAAGGCUCGUCCGCUCUGGGUUAGUCGGGUCCUAAGCUGAGGCCGACAGGCGUAGGCGAUGGAUAACAGGUUGAUAUUCCUGUACCACCUAUAAUCGUUUUAAUCGAUGGGGGGACGCAGUAGGAUAGGCGAAGCGUGCGAUUGGAUUGCACGUCUAAGCAGUAAGGCUGAGUAUUAGGCAAAUCCGGUACUCGUUAAGGCUGAGCUGUGAUGGGGAGAAGACAUUGUGUCUUCGAGUCGUUGAUUUCACACUGCCGAGAAAAGCCUCUAGAUAGAAAAUAGGUGCCCGUACCGCAAACCGACACAGGUAGUCAAGAUGAGAAUUCUAAGGUGAGCGAGCGAACUCUCGUUAAGGAACUCGGCAAAAUGACCCCGUAACUUCGGGAGAAGGGGUGCUCUUUAGGGUUAACGCCCAGAAGAGCCGCAGUGAAUAGGCCCAAGCGACUGUUUAUCAAAAACACAGGUCUCUGCUAAACCGUAAGGUGAUGUAUAGGGGCUGACGCCUGCCCGGUGCUGGAAGGUUAAGAGGAGUGGUUAGCUUCUGCGAAGCUACGAAUCGAAGCCCCAGUAAACGGCGGCCGUAACUAUAACGGUCCUAAGGUAGCGAAAUUCCUUGUCGGGUAAGUUCCGACCCGCACGAAAGGCGUAACGAUUUGGGCACUGUCUCAACGAGAGACUCGGUGAAAUCAUAGUACCUGUGAAGAUGCAGGUUACCCGCGACAGGACGGAAAGACCCCGUGGAGCUUUACUGUAGCCUGAUAUUGAAAUUCGGCACAGCUUGUACAGGAUAGGUAGGAGCCUUUGAAACGUGAGCGCUAGCUUACGUGGAGGCGCUGGUGGG
rnacentral:rRNA from 1 species